rnacentral:rRNA from 1 species
CCUACGGGGGGCUGCAGUAACGAAUCUUCCGCAAUGCACGAAAGUGUGACGGAGCGACGCCGCGUGGAGGACGAAGUUCUUCGGAAUGUAAACUCCUGUCAGGGGAAAGAAAGUACUGAUCUACCCCAGAGGAAGGGACGGCUAACUCUGUGCCAGCAGCCGCGGUAAGACAGAGGUCCCGAGCGUUAGGCGGAAUCACUGGGCUUAAAGCGUGUGUAGGCGGAUGCCUAAGUACCUUGUGAAAUCCCACGGCUCAACCGUGGAACUGCUUGGUA